CAGGACUCGCAAGACUCCCGUAACCACUGUGAAUCUUACCUUUUCGUUGCCUCGGCGGGUGCUGGUCUCCAGCGCUCACGCCCGCCGACGGCCCACAACUCGUUGUCUUUUCUAAGCAUCUCCGAGCUAUACACAAACGAAUCA
rnacentral:misc_RNA from 1 species